rnacentral:lncRNA from 1 species
GGAAAAAAGGGUUUUGACACAAACGGCGUUCCAUAGGAGCAGUUGCGGCUAAAAGUCGAUAGAGUGCGUCAAAACUCGCACAUUGUUGCCAAGACCAUUGAUUCUCCAAUGUAAAAUGAAAAUCAAAUUAUUUCAACACAAUUUCAACCGUUCGUUACCGGCCGUGCGGCCGUUACAAAAUACAAACUCAGUGUCUCAAUCAUCGACUUAUAACAUGAUUGUGUUAUACGUCAACGGUUACAAUACGAAGGUUCUCAGAUCUCAGAUUGAUUAUAGACUGUUUUUAAUUGGUGUUAAUGCCAAAGGUAAACAUAAUUUAUCCGUAUCCGCUUUUCCAGGCGCACUUAUCUUAGUUGUGUGAAUCAAAUUUCUUCACAAUGGAUUCAUUCACCGAGCGGAUGAUGGAACGGGCUAAAGCACGAAAGGAUCGCCUGAAAAAUCAAUUGAAAAUCACAGACGGUCUGAGAAUUGGCAUCCAGCCAAAUGUCUCACCGCUGAAGGAACCAAACUUCACAAAUGCUGUUGACUCAGAGCCGUUUACAAGGAAGUUUAUGCAUGACACUAAAUCUCCACAUUAUGUGCAUUCACAUGAUACCUCAUCAAGUUCAUAUGCAGCGGUUGAUGGAGUAGAUGAAAAUGCACCGUUUUUAGGCAGCAAAAAAACUGAAGAAAGUUCAUCCUUGUCAACAGGAGUAAAUUUAGUUUCAUCAAAGACUCGAUUGAAGGAACAAUCACCAUUCAGAGCACAAGUUGAUUUUACUGCAACUGAUAUUCAGAAACCUGAUUCAAAGUCUUUCUUCAGCAGACAAGGAGUAAAGUCCACUUUUAAUGUCGAUGUCAGUGUACAAUCUCCUCAAAAAACUUCUGCUCCUCCCUCCGACAUGACAGCUGCAGAUCCUGAGACACAUUGCAUCAUUCGACCAGGAGAGGAAGUCACAAUCGAAGCGGACCCCCAAGAUAUGCAAGAGGCAGAGACCACUCAUUCAAAUUUGACCAGGCAAGAUGCAAAGAUGAGACUGAAGAAGCUUGGUGCCCUUUACGGAGAUCGGCCAAGUCGAGUGUCCUCUCCUAUACAACAAACAGAAGAAUUAUUUGCUGCAGAAGAAAUUAAAAAACCUAGCGGUAAAUCAAUAGCUCGAUCUGCCAGGCUUGCUGCUCUUGCGAGUCAAAUCAAUCAGUGGGAGGAUGAUGUCAAAAAUGUACCCACUAGUUCAGUAAAAGAGGUGUCAAGAAAAGGUAAAGACGAAACACCACGAUUUCAACACUCUGUUACCUUCCAAUCUCCUAAGAAAGCUGGCUUAUCUCUUGAAGCAAGAUUUUCUUCUAUCGCUCCUCAUCAGUUUAUAAAAUCUAAUUAUCAAAGUGGUGGCAUUUCAAUGAUGGCUCGAGCUCAAAAAUCAGUUUUGAAAAACAAACCUGCCGAAGAACUUAUAGUCGAUGGGUUUUUCUCUUCUGACGGAAAUGUACCUGUGAGGAGGGAUGUUGAAUUUACAUCUCCUGUGAAAGAGAUUUCAGGGGAACCUUCCCUCAGCCAAGCGAGAUCUCCAGCCAGGCCUGAAAUUCGGACAAAUCCAUUACAGACAUAUUCUCCAAACAGGACAUCGCCCACAAAACAGUUAAGUCCUCAAAAAACAGCAUGGCCACAACCAUUUAGUUCACCACGUUUGAAAAACCCAAGUCAACUUUCCCCAGUUACUUCCCACACCAGCCCUUCCAAGUCAGCCUCACAUUCUCCAAACACGACAUCGCCUAUGAAACAGAUCAAUCCUCAAAAACCACGUGGCUACAACCAUUCAGUCUGCCAAGUUCCACAAAUCCAAGUGAAUCCUGCCCAGUUACUUCUCAUACUAGCCCUCUCAAGUCAGCCUCACCUCGCCGAAUCAAUCUUUUAA